UUUUCUUUUUCUUUGUGUUAUCUAAACUUCAUCUUUAUCUGUCCUUUUUUUUUUUUUUUUUUUUUGGGUUUCUUUUGAAGAAACCAUCAUAAUUCCAUUAGACUUAGAAUUCUCUUUUGUAUUCUUAUGUUCUAAGAUGGUGGUGGUUGCAAAGAUUGGUUCAAAAGGGUCUGUUUAACAGGUAAAUAACGAAAAGGAAAGAAAAAGAGUGUGGUAGAUUAGAAAUUAGUAGACAAAGGAAGGACCAAAAAUGAAAUUUCAUGUGCCCUUAAACAUUUUAAGAAAAUAGAUACAUGCACUAUGCCACUAGAUUAACUCUAAUGGAAUCUAGAUAAGCGCCACUUGGAUUUUAAUCAAGUACAAAUAACCUUUUUAAUUACAAUAUUUAUAUAUUCCACUACAUCGCACCUUACGAUGGUUUAGGUUUCAUAAACCAAUAAACUACCACCACGUCAGAAAAUAUUUCUUUAUUUAUAUCUUGCUCACGGAGCUCCCGUGUGACUGCGGUGCACUGGACCCUUCCUCACCGAUUCAGGCGACUAUAAAAACACUCCAAGAUUUCCGAUCUUUCUCUCACACUCGGCGCCCUCGCUCCUUUUUCACCCUAAUCGAUCGACCUUUGAAUUGUAAUUUCAUUUCUCUAUGAGGACCGGAAUGCGGUACCACACCGGUAGUGAGGAUCACCGGCGGGAGUCUCAUUUUCUCGAAGCUUGUUUUCUCUGCCGGAGGCCGCUCGGAUUCAACCGAGACAUUUUCAUGUACAAAGGAAACACGCCGUUCUGUAGCAAAGAAUGCCGGCAGGAACAGAUUGAGUUCGAUGAAGCGCAAGAGAAGAGCUGGAGAAUCUCGUCGUCCUCGUCCUCGUCUUCGGCAGAUAAAACGAAGACGUCUAGUAAGAAGAAUGUACGAACGGAUACAGUUGCAGUGGCCUAAAGUUGGACGAAGGAAUUUUGAGGAAAAAGGAAAAAAAAUUAGGGUGAAAACAGAACCCUAGAAAUUUUCGGGGAGAGUAAGAAAAGAGAAAAUCAAAUGAGAGAGGAAAAGAGACUGAGACUGAGUGGAAUGAAGAAUUGAGAAAAUAUUUGAAAUCUCUUCAUGUGAAGAAGAAGAAGAUUGGAUUGGCAGACACACUAUACAGAACUGUUCUGGUUCUGUUCUGCUUCAAUCAUCCUACUUUUUUUUUCUUUCUUUUUUUUUUUUUUUCUUUUGGGUUUAUGGAGAUAUUCAUAUUACUGUGAUUAGUAAAAUCUGUGGAAAAGAAAUUGAUGAUCUGCCAUGGAAAUUCUGUUGAAAAUUUUACGAAUUAUAGCUUUGGGGAUAAUUUUUGACUGAA